AACGGUCCUCCUGGGGAGGCUUCACUCGUCCUUGAGAAGGGGCCCUGGGCCUCCUGGCGGGAUGACGGCCCUUGCCACUAACCCUCUCAUCAAAGGGCUUUAACCUGCACAUCUUCCCCUUAUUCACGACGUGAAAUUUAUUCUUGAGAAACCACUGUGAACAUUUCACACACGACUUGAAACCCCUGAUAAAACACGUAGUGGCAAAACCACGAUUAGGCACUACCAACUUGUCUAGGACUCGCUCUAGGACAAAACCCUAUCUUCCCCCAGCUGCGUGGCCCGGGAUGCCUCGGAUCGGAGCCCAAGAGCCCACCGCCAGACAUGGUGGAGGCGCCAGCGUCACCUAGCAGCCGGUGCCCACGCCCAACAUGCAGGGCUGGGUGCAGCUGGGCGCAGCCGGCGUUCCCUGCGCCCGGGGUUGUUGGGAGGGUCCCCGGCGCCCUCCCGCCCCGGCCCCCAGCUCCCCUAGCGCUCGCGUCCCUAGCACCCCCAGCACGCCCGGCGCCCGCCCCCACAGCCCCCAGGGCCCCGUCGCCUCCGAGUAGCCUGACAGGUGCCCCUGCUGUCGCUUGGGGCACGUGACCACCAGCAGACGACCCGGCGAGCGCCGCCCAGCGCCCUCGGCAGGCGACGCUCCGGAAGACAACGGCGCGGGCGCCUCUGCGCCGUCGCCCCCGAUUGGCCGCAUCCGGGUCACGUGGCCGCGCCCCUCCUCUGGAGGGUGGAGGUCCCGGGUCCCAGCGCCGCCUCGGCGGUGGCUGGUGCAGGGGUGGCGUUGUCCCCCUCCCCCUCCCAGAAAUGCACCUGCAGACCCCCGGGUGUUCGCAGCCUGCGCUGCUGGCGCCGGUUCGAGCCGAGCGUUCUUCCCUCGAAACAGCGGCCAACCGCGGUCAGAACGACCCGUUCGAGGAUCCUGGGAACAGGUCAGAGAAAUACAGCAAGACAUUGUUCAGCGGAACAGAGUGCUGUCCCAAAGGGCCACGCUCCCGGCAGAUAAGGCAGUCCUCAGGAGCUGUCCCAGAUCGGAGCUGUGUGAGGAGCAUGACAGCCAAACGCGACGUGGGGCUCUGGACUGGCCCAGACCGGGAAGAGUACGUUAGUGGAAAACAUGAAAUCUGAAUCAAGUCCAGAGGCAGUUGACAGUGUGCGCCACGGACUGAAUAUUCGUGUUUUCCCCCCCGAACUUGGCCUUUGAAACCUAAUCCCCAGUGUGAUGGUGUCUGGAGGCGGGACCUGUGGGAGGUGCUGAGGUCCUAAGAGUGGAGCCCUCCAGAAUGUGACCCGCGCCCUCAUAGAAGAGCCUAGAGAACCAGCGUGUCCCUUCUGCCACGCGAGGACGCCGAGAGAAGACAGCUGUCUCUGAACCAAGAGGCGGGCUUUCGCCAGGCACCAACCUGCCGAAGCCUUGGCUUUGGACUCCAGCCUCCAGGACCGUGGGAAGUACACGCUUGUCGUUCUGGCUCCCCAGCCUGUGUUAUUUUGUUCCGGCGGCCCCACCAGACCGAGACAGUAUUGCACCAGAAUUAGCUACCUGGCUUUGAUAUUUAUGCCAUAGAGCUGUAAGGCGUUAACGGUGGGAAAAGCUGGGCAAAGCAUUUGCGAAUUGUCUGUGCUUUGUUUUGCUUUGUUUUGUUUGCCAGAUUCAGGUGGGCCAGGGUGAAUUCAUCCUUCUCCUGGGCUGGGGGAGCAAGGGGAGUCCACGUCCGGGCUGCCCUCGUGUCCCGGAAUGGGGCGAGCUGAUGGGAAGCUCGGGUGGUUGCCCUUCAUGGGCUCUCGGGUGCCCAACCUGCCUUUACCGGCUUGGCGAGUACGGAUGUGUCCGGCAGGGACAAGCUCGGCAGAUUGGAGAGCGACGAGGAGCCCAGGUUGGGGGGCUUAUGGAUGAGCAGGAGGAAGGUGGCAGGAGGCGAGCUUGGACAGAUGGCCAGCGUGUCAUGGGGGCCACAUCAGGUGAGGUUAGAGAAGGAAUCCUCACCCACCCCUUCACAUCUCCCACCUCCAUUUAGUACGGUUUGAGUAUCCUUUUGGGUUUUUCUCAAUUACCUGUGUAGCAUUAUGUCCUAUUUCAUACUUAAAGCUCUGUAUCUGGUCCAGCAGCUUGGAUGGUUUCUGCAUCCUCUCCCACCACAGAAGAGAGGGAUCCCACCCUCCCCUCGGCCUCCCAUGCCUCCACCGCCUCCUGGCUCACGUCACCUUUGCUUUUGCCUGGACAUUGUCCAGGCUGCUGCUUAUCAUUAGAAGAGAUUGUGUUGCUUGUAGGCUGAUGCCAAAGUCUAGAAGUCAAUCAGCAAUAUUUUCCCUUUAUGGCUGCUAUAUGAGUUUUAUUUCUUGAACAACCUUUUGAACUAGCAUUUCUCUCUUCAUGCCCGAUGGCCUUAAGGAAAAUGAUUACGUUCCAUGAAUAGCCCAAGAUGUUGCCAUAGUUUUCUUUGGGCCAUAUUUGCACAGCUCAUGGCUACAGCUUUUCAUUUUAUUUACUGAGUUUCUGAUUGCCUUUAUUUUUUCUCAUUUUCUAAAGAGCGUGCCUUCACCGUAUCGUCAGUUGACACGGCCUCUCAUGCUAGAUCUUGCCCCAGAUGCCCGCCUUUUCCCCUGGAGUGGUCAGUCCCAGAGCUCUCCAGCCUCUUUGCUGUCCAGGCCUGCUGCCCGGCCGUCACUGUGGACAUCACCCCACGAGCCUCCGGACUGGCCCACUGCUCAGCUGGUCCCAUGCUUCCCCUGUUCUCGGUGUCCUUGGUUCUCUGACAUACGUUACAAGCAGGUCCUCAGAAAGGGGAGUCUUUGCGCGCUAAGAAGGCCUUUAACUUGCCGUCCUAGCGGACGUAGACUUGUGGAUCCCAAGUCUCGCCUCAAAUUGUGAAGGCACAGCUCUGUUAGUGUCUUGCUGUUGACAGUUUGAUGACGCUUCCUUUGUAAGAGUCAUGAGUUCAAUUUCUGGAUGCUUUUAACAUCCUUCUUUAUCCCUAAUGUUCUGAAAUUCCACAAGAGCAAGUCUAGACGGAAUCUUUUCUUCAUUUAUUCUGCUCCGUGCAAGUGGGGCCCUUUUCUUAGUCUUCUCUGUCGUCUGGUGACAAGCGUCUGUGUGCAUGAUGUUGCACAUGCUGAAUGUGUCCCCCUGUCCCGGCACCUCACCUGUUCUCUUUCCUCUUCUAACUCCUUUUCUUUCUGGAUCACUUGAUGAUCUAUGUCCUGAGAUAGAUAUUUGACUUUAUCUUCUAACCUUCCUAUUAACCAUUUUAUUUCUACCACUUACUUUUUAGGAUUCCCUUUUAUUUUUAAUGAACUUUAUUGAUAUUUGAUUCACAUACAAUGAAACGGUCCCAUUUUAAGUGUAUGUUCUGAUGAGUUUUUAUGCCACUGUGUGAGUAUCACCACCAUCAAAAUACGGUUACCUUGGGCCCCUUCCCAGUCACACCCCACCCCACACCCAGGCUCUGGGCACCCACCGUCAGAUUCGCAGAUUGGAGUUGUGUUUUCUAGACUGUCGUGGUCAGCAUAAUGAGACCCACGUCCUUGCAUCUAUCAGCACCUCACUGCAUCUUGACUGCUAAGUAGCUCUCUGUUGUGUGGACAUAACACAGUUUUUAGACUGUUCGUCGGGUGAGGGGUGUUGGGGUUUUUCCAGCUCACUUUUGAACGCUGCUCCUACGAACGUACAAGUGUACAAGCGUUUGUGUGGACAGGUUUUCAUGUCGCCUGAGCAAAUACCCAAGAGUAGAACAGCCACGCUGCAUGGAAAACACGCGUCGAACUAGAUAAUAAACCGCUGAGCUGUUCUCCGAAGCAGUCGCCCGUCUGGUAUUCCCAGCAGGAAUGUGUGAGUUCCAUUUUCCCUGCAUUUUUUCCAUCUCUUGGUGUGGUCAGAACUUUCUUGAUCAUUCCAGGUAACUCAGUUUCCUUGACGGGCCUCCCUGCUAAAUAGAAAGGAUGACGGGGCUUCAUGUCCGAGGGUUCACCAGAUGUCGGGCUUUUUCUGUGAGGUUCGGAAAGGAAGGAGCCGCUCGAGGCCUUACCAGAUGCCAGACUGAGGAAUGAAUGACUUGGGAAGACCAGAUCCCGAGCGCUCCCGAGUGCUUUGGGAGAAGAGCUAGCUGGCGUUCUGACCCGUUGCUGUGUGGCGGGCUUAUGGAAGGAGGACUCAUUCCAGCUUCAGGCCGUCCCUUGGUGCCAGCCCCACCUGCACCCUGCCCCAACCCCCCAUACCUCUUCUGGGGGGGGAGCCUCCUCCUCCCACACCUCUGCCUGCCCCCUCCCACUGCACUAGUCUGUGAGUCACCUCCGUGAGGCCAGAGGUGACAGCGGAGGACAUUGCCCCGCUCCUCUCUAUCUCGCACUGAGGCCUGGAUUUCCAUUCGCAGACUGGCCGGAUGUCCACACGCAUGGCUCAGUAAAGAAGGCCAAUUAUGGAACAGCGUACAUGGCAUCCACUUAUAUAAAAAUCUACGUGUACAUAGACAAGUGACAGGAUAGGCCUUAAAACAUUUACAGUAGUUACUUCUGGGUGGUGGGGUUAAAGUUGCCUAUACAUUUUUUUUAAGUUUAACACACUUUCACAUACUUUCUAGAAACUUCGGUUAUGAGGACAGAAGUUGUAUGGUGGCUAAAGGCGCGGGCUGCGGGGUCACUUGAGUCUGGAUUUUCAAGUGUUACAUCUGCCGCUUACUAGCAGCGAACCCUCGGCCUCAGUGUCCUCCCUGGCCAUGAGAGCCGCUCCAAGGACCCCGUGAGGCUGCACGCGCAGAGCCCAGCAGAGGGCCGGGCCCACAGCGGGCAGGCUCCAUCCAGGCUGGCUCUUAUCCUACUAUUAUGUUAAGAUAAAAAAAACAAACGGGGCCUGGGUGGCUCAGUCGGUUUGGGCGUCCGACUUGGGCUCAGGUCAUGAUCUCACGGUUCGUGGGUUCAACCCCUGCGUCGGGCUCUGUGCUGACAGCUCGGAACCUGGAGCCCACUUCCGAUUCUGUGUCUCCCUCUCUCUGCCCCUCCCCUGCCUGCGCUCUCUCAAAAAUAAACAUUACAAAGUAUUUCCUGGCAUAAUUUUUCCAAGGGUGUGUGUCCAUGCAAACAAAUAGGCCCAGGGUCCAUUUGUUGUACAGAAUCCAUCCGCCUCAUGUGGGUCAGUCCGCCCCCCCCACCGCCUCCCAGAACCCAGAGUCAGAUACAUCGUGUCCAGCAGAAGCAUCAUGUAACACGUAUGCCUCUAAAUUUUUCUAAUGGCUGCGAUAGGGGAAAAAAAGAAAUGGAGGAAAUUCAUUUGGAUAACAUACUUUAUUUCACCCAGACCCAGUAUAUAAAAAAAUUAUCUCACUAGUCAACCUAAAGUAGAAUGAGUUAUUUUACA